rnacentral:miRNA from 1 species
GAGCUUUCUUUAGUCCACUCA